GCAGCUGAAGGAGCUGGCUGGGGGCGGCCGGAGUCUCUUCUGCCUAGUGCGCGAAGGGCUUCAAAGUCGUUUCAGGUCCGGCAGGAGGAGGCGAGAGAGAAAAGAAGAAGAAGAAGAAGAAGAAGAAGAAGAAGCGGGGGAAAGCGCAAGCAAGAAACCUGGAAAGGGUAAAUGUUAUGCAAAGCUCAGAGGAGGACUAAGAAAAAAAUAAUUGCCUUUGAUAUUGAGAAGAAAGUUUUUGAUGAUGAGUUACUGGCACUUGGACAAAAGAAGUUGUCUUCAGUACUGCAGACAUUUUUUAGUGGACAAUAGUGUUUUUCAUGGUAAGA